rnacentral:rRNA from 1 species
AUUUAUUGAAGACUAACUACUGCGAAAGCAUUUGCCAAGGAUGUUUUCAUUAAUCAGGAACGAAAGUUAGGGGAUCGAAGACGAUCAGAUACCGUCGUAGUCUUAACCAUAAACUAUGCCGACUAGGGAUCGGACGGUGUUAUUUUUUGACCCGUUCGGCACCUUACGAGAAAUCAAAGUGCUUGGGCUCCAGGGGGAGUAUGGUCGCAAGGCUGAAACUUAAAGAAAUUGACGGAAGGGCACCACCAGGGGUGGAGCCUGCGGCUUAAUUUGACUCAACACGGGGAAACUCACCAGGUCCAGACACAAUGAGGAUUGACAGAUUGAGAGCUCUUUCUUGAUUUUGUGGGUGGUGGUGCAUGGCCGUUCUUAGUUGGUGGAGUGAUUUGUCUGCUUAAUUGCGAUAACGAACGAGACCUUAACCUGCUAAAUAGCCCCGUAUUGCUUUGGCAGUACGCUGGCUUCUUAGAGGGACUAUCGGCUCAAGCCGAUGGAAAGUUUGAGGCAAUAACAGGUCUGUG